GUACCCUCAAGCUCUGCUUGGUGUUGGGUGUUUGUCCCGCUUCUGCGCGUGGACUCGCCUCAAAGCAAUUGGCAGCCGGCAUAUUGGCCUGGAUCGCGAGCACAUUUUGCGACCUGGCCAUACUUGUCCGGCAUCCAUCAAGACUACUUUUUGC
rnacentral:misc_RNA from 1 species